AUGAAAAAGGAGAAAAAACGAAAAAAAAUUAAUAAAUCCUUGUGAGGCACUAGUCGCUUGACAUUAUUAAAAAAAUAUGCACAGUAGUAUAGCUAUGCCGGUUCUGGAUAAUAUCGGUAAUGCAGAUUCCUACUUACCGACCGCGAGGGUAAGUUACCGGGCGUUUGUGGGUAUAUGGGUAAUGUAGAUUCCUACUUAUCGACCGCGAGGGUAAUUUACAGGCCGUUAGUGGGGUACCUGAUUUGCAUAUAUGUAAAUUAGUUAACCCUUUUAAUUUACAUAUAUUUAAAUAUAUGGAAAAGUUACCGAGCGUUGGUGGGGUACCUGAUUUGCAUAUAUUUAAAUUAGUUAACCCUUUUAAUUUGCAUACGUUUUCUAUAGUUUAUUAUUCAAUUUUCAUUGUUAACCCUUUUAGUUUAUGCAAAUUCCACCCACUAUCCAUCCUUUUGGACGUAUAAUAUGCAAACACCACCCACUUUCACCCCACCCUCUUUUUACAUUCAACCUAAUUUGCAUACAUUUUUUUUCUUUGCAACACCCCCCUCCCACCACCCACUCACCUGUGUAAAAUACAUUGCUCUUAGUUAACCACCCCCCUCCCACCAACUUUUUUCCUUUAUAUGUAUAUUUCUAAUACUACCAUCCACCACCACCCACUUAGUAUAAACUAGAAAUUUCAAAAACGGUAUAGAGAACCCCGAGGGAUUAAGCGUUCGCGAGAUACCGAGCAGGCGUUGUGGGUAGUGGGAGUGUGUGGUGGUGGGUGCUGUGGUAAGGCCCAGUGCGCAGCAAAAGUGCGCGUACGGUUACCGCGUUAAGUGAGUGAAAGUUCCAUGCAUCAGACCUGUCUGUCUGACUGUUGCAGCGUUCUUCCCUGGUACUAUAGCACCAUAGGAAUAAAUAUAUUGUCCAAAAAUAUGUAAGCAAGUUUCAACUUGUCUUUUUCCAUGAUAACAAUAGUAUUGUUUGAAUAUCUUAAAGCAUGUUUCAACCUGCAUCUUGAAUAGAAUAAAGACAUUGUCUAAUAAACCUUCAGACAGGUUUUAACCUGCCUGUAGAUAAUGACAAAGACACUUUUUUUAGAAACAUUUUAGUGACGUCAUUUUCAUGCGAGUUUGAACACGUCUUCUAAAUGACUCUUCUUUUUAACUUAAAGUGGAGGCAGUUGCGUGCGCAGUCGUUAAAGUGGGGGUAAAAGAGUGGGCAACGGUUCGACACUUCUAUUUAAAUUUCCAGCAGCAGCAGCUUCAGCAGUAUCAACAGUACCAACAGCUUCAGCAUCUACAGCAACAUUAGCAGUACUAGCAGUUUUAACAAAUACAGCAUCAUCUACUCAUUUGAUAUUAAAACAAUGGACUUCCAAAAAGUCAACGCCAUUGGUCGCAUGAAGAGAUUUCUGCCAACGAAGCCGCUUUCUGAGUUGACUGUGAAUGAGUUAUACAACGUAACUAAAAUAAACAAGGUGCAGACCAAAUAUGGUUCUAGGAUUGUAGUAGACUUGGAUGCUGCAUUAACAACUUUUCUGCCGGCAAGGUUCGCAAAACUAUUUGAAGCUGACCCUACCUUCUUCACAAUGAUGGAAGAAGCCGUACAGUCGGAGAAGUUGUGAUUAAAAUAUAUUGGUGGCAAAUUUAAUGUUAUUGGAUUUGAAUAAAAUAUUAUAAGAUUAUACUAUAAAAAUUAUGUAAAUAUUUAAAGGCUUAUAAUAAUAAAAAAAAUUACUUUCAAA